rnacentral:lncRNA from 1 species
CCGUUCUUUCCCAUGCUAUUGUUAUGUAUUUGUUUGAAACUCAUGAUUUCACCUAAAUUCUUUUUUUCUAACAAAGUAGGAGAGGUGGGAUUAAUUAAUAGACGAACCCAAUCAUCUCAACUAGGGUUACCAUCCCCUCAUCAUGCCCUAGAUCCAGAAGUGCUUCAUUUGUAUUAAAAAAAGAUAACAAACCAUGAAGUUUGAAGACAAAUACAAAGAAGAUAGACUAGAAAAAAGCAAUCAAAUUAAGAAAAAUACAAGAGGUAUCAUAACUACAAAACAACCUUGAUCUAGAACUCCAUUAUGCAGCAAAAUAUAAAAUAUUGUUGAGAAUUUACACGAAGAUAUAAAAUAAAUUUGGAACGAACUAAAUUAUAUUACAAACUUCCACUUCACAGGUUUAAACCAAAGAAGCAAUGAAUCAUAAAAUUGUAAAUAAUUAAUAAAGGAGGAAAAGACAUAAAAACUUAUACUGACCCCAAACUCGAGACUACCUCCAGUCUUCUAGGAUAACAAGUUCUGCCAUGAUGGAGAUUGCAAGAAACCCAAAUCCACACUUACAAAAUUUUCUUUCCAAAUAAUUCAACAAAAUUCAAGUACUACAGUAAGUAAAUGAAAUAAACGAUAAGUGAAACCUUUUAACCCAAUAACUCACUGCCACCCUAAAAUAACAGACUCGAAUUGAUUCCAUGUGGUGUAUUUUUCUUCAUUCUCUCCGGCGGCAAAGACUCUCGGCCAACUCAGUUUUCUUCUUCGAUGAAAAAUGCCUCACGGCAAACAUAUAUGUGCUCUCC